CAGGAGGAACGUUUAGAAAGACUGGCUGCAUUUCAGUCCCUGGCAAGCUCCCAAGACAUCAACUGAGCCCUUCGGCAUGAAGAUUUUCCUGUGAAGAGCUCCUACCGGCCCUCACUGCACAGGGAAACCCGCGAAGAGGGACUGAUACGUUUCCAGUGACAUGGGCUGACCCCGGGCCAGCUGUGGAAAAGAGAAUCCCAGGAUACAUAGCUCAAGGGAAGCCGACAAGGGAGCACAUCUGCUGGAAGCACUUGAUGACGCCUCAAAGCUGCGGGAUCUUCCUGACAUCAUGCUCGUGACAGCGAUCAAAGGAAAACUAGAUACAAGAACCUCCAGCCACCCACUCCCCCUGGAGCCUGCCGCGCGCGUCCCCUCGGUUGACCACGUGCGGC